ensembl:lncRNA
UGUAGAAUUGGUGGAAAAAGUCAGAAAAUGAAGGAAAGGAGAAGCAGUCUGUAGAAAACAACUCGAGAGGAAGUUACAAAAGUGUUGCAAUAGUUGCUCCAGGCACAGUGCAGAAAUGGAAAACAAGGUGAAAGGAAUAGUAGAGAAAAAUGAAUACAGGCAUGUCACCUGCCCCGUGCUAUCCUGCAUUAGGCACUCCCUUCUCAGGAGCAAUAGUAAUAGCAAAUUGUAUUGCAGGACAACAGAAGGAGAGCAGCACCCAUUACACAGCUGGUCCUUGAGGGGGAUAAAGUGGGGCAAACUGCCCUUGGGCAGGGAUGGCUGGAGUGAGAGCGGGCUGGAGGGAUGAAGAUGAGGGCAGUGAGGGGCUCGGGGAAGCUUCUCUGGGGCAUGGAGAUAGAAGUUUGUCCCUGGGAGGAGAAUUACAAAAUGUUUUGAAGGAUGAGGCUUUGAGGCUGACUGUGAUGGGUAGGAAGGAAUGGUUUGAAUGGAAACCCCAACUGGAUGAAAGUGGGAAGAGGGAAAAGGAGCUGGAAGAGGGACUGUUAAGUUGCUAGCAGAGUGAGCUGAAGGAAAAAGGGAUGUGGAUGAGCGAGGAGCUGCAGAAGGUGUCAACAGGACACCAAAGGAUAAAUACACUUUUGCCUCACCGUGCCCUUCCCAUCCUGUUUUUCCCUCGUCUAAAAAAACCUAUCUCGGCCCCAUCCUCUGUUUUCUAACUUUCAACAAAGCUAGCCCUAUCGCGGUGGGUGCGUGCAGCUCCUAAGUAUCAAUUCCAGCUCACUUCCUCAAGUUCUUAAGGGAAAAGAAAAAAAAAAAAAACAACCCAACAACAAAACAGAACAAAACAAAAAAAAAAAGAAGCGUGAGCUGUGCUUGGGGCAUCUUUCGAGCCCGGUCAGCGCGCUCCGACAGUGCUGGGGGACGGAGGCGGCCCGCUCCCCUACCGGGAGGAGACAAAGGGCGGCGGCACCCCCGGCCCCGACGUGCGGCUCCGUCCCGGAGAGAGGAGGGGGGACGGACGGACAGAAAGUUCGGCAUCGACGGGGCGGGAGGUGGGGGCGCUGCCCCGCGCCUUUGUUCAGCGGGGAGAGGACCUGCGGCGGAGCAGAGCCGACCGCGCAGAUGGGCACGCAGCCGGCAACGCGGCCCCGAGCCCACGGGACGAGGAGGAGGAGGAGGAGGAGGAGGGAGGCGGAAGGUCCCCUCGCAGCCUCCCUCGCUUUCUCCCUCCCUCCAAGGUCAAAAACAUGGCUGUCUGGAGAAUGGGAUGCUUGCCAAAACAUCAGUCUAUGCUGGGUGCCACUCAUUAUCCUGCCAGUGGUGGAAUACAACUUGGGUCUCCUCAGGAGGUGA